GAUGAACGCUGGCGGCGUACCUAACGCAUGCAAGUCGAACGGACCCUGUGAAGCAAUUCGUGGGGUGAGUGGCAAACGGGUGAGUAACACGUGGGCAUCUACCUUCAAGUGGGGAAUAACGAGCCGAAAGGUUCGCUAAUACCGCAUACGGUUGAGAAACGAAAGGUUCCUUCUCACGAAGGGAUCGCUGGAAGCGGAGCCUGCGGUCGAUCAGGUUGUUGGUGAGGUAACGGCNCACCAAGCCCGUGACCGAUAGCUGAUCUGAGAGGAUGACCAGCCACACUGGCACUGUGAACGGGCCAGACUCCUACGGGAGGCAGCAGCGAGGAAUAUUGCACAAUGGAGGCAACUCUGAUGCAGUAA
rnacentral:rRNA from 1 species